GGUAUACAACAGAGAGAAUGUAAUAUACUAGGUUCUCCACCCCAUCAAGAGUUCUCCACAGUUAUCGAAGAGAUAGAGAGAAAACAGGUUCUCCACUGUUAUCGAAGAGAUAGAGAUAAAAUAAGUUCUCCACUGUUAUUGGAGAGAUAGAGAGAAAACAGGUUCUCCACUGUUAUCGAAGAGAUAGAGAGAAAACAGGCUCUCCACUGUUAUUGGAGAGAUAGAGAGAAAACAGGUUCUCCAGUUAUUGGAGAGAUAGAGAGAAAACAGGUUCUCCAUUGUUAUUGGAGAGAUAGAGAGAAAACAGGUUCUCCACUGUUAUUGGAGAGAUAGAGAGAAAACAGGUUCUCCAUUGUUAUUGGAGAGAUAGAGAGAAAACAGGUUCUCCACUGUUAUUGGAGAGAUGUGAAGAAAA